rnacentral:lncRNA from 1 species
AUCGAGCGAGCGUUGGGAGUUUGCGGUUUUGCUGUUGCUGUCGUGGUUCAGCCUGUCACCAAGAAAAAGUCACUCGUUGCCAGUGCGGACAUGCUCUGAUAAGGAGGAGGAAGCCAGUUGUGGGUAGUGUAUUUGAGGAUGAAGGUGAUGCUGAUCUCGUGUUGUCUAGAAUGGUGUGGAAGGAACUCCCAGACUUAAGAGCUCUUUUCUCUGCAGCCUCCCAGGACUUAAGCCCCAUG